GAUUUAUUUCAAUUGAAUGUGUGGGUAUGAUAGGUUUUUUCUUCAUCCCUUCUCCCUUUUCCCUGAAUUUAUCAUCAAGAUUUGGGCCAAUUUAAUUGGUUUUUUUUUUUUUUCUCUAAGAAUUUUGGAGCAGUAAUGUUGUGAAAUCUGAAUUGAAAUUUCGUAAUAGGCAGAUUCAAAUUGCAUAUCAAGCCACUUGCUUCGAUUUUUCCCCCAAUGGAAACCCCAUGUGAAAAUUUCCCAUUGAAGAAUCCCUUAGCAAGUUUGUAAUGCGAACCUUUAAUUUUUACGUAUUUAUUUAAUAUAUAGAAAAUUUGAUUUCAUGACAUAAAUCUUUGCACUCAUUCUGGUUUUUCAUUUAUGAUUGCUAGUGUAUCUUCUUUUUGUUCAAUGGCUUUGAAGUUCUAAAAUGCGUAAAUUAGUUAGUAUGGUGCGUAGAGGUGGAGGAUCCCAAUAUAUGUCAUUCAAUGAUAAAUUGACACACAUAGCAGUUGGAUCUCCUUUAGAGACGUAAUAAGUCCUUGACUCUUUUAAGCAAAAAGAUUAUUUGUAAAAAAAAUUUGGUUCUUUCUUUAAGCAAUUCUUUAAGGUCCCUUGCUAGUAUGGUGACUCAUGACAUUAAUGUGAUAUUCCUUUUAUUCACAUUGGCUCUCUGUUAUGCUUGCUGAGUUAGAGAAUAUCUUCCCUUAUUUGUAUUAGCUUCAUCUCUCACUUGCUUUUGUAAUUUCUUAGUGAGAAAAAGGAGGUAAGGAGCCUUGCAGCUUUGGGUGUUAUUUAUGUAGUUAAACGCACAUGGAGCUAGAAGAUUGAGAUUGCAAAAAAGGGCUGAAAUUGUUCAAUGGGUAAUUUAAGGAGGAGGAAAGGUAGUGGAUGAUCCUGUGAAACAAAAUAUGCACUUUACAUUUUCUACACAUGUAGAUGGACAAUGAAGCCAGUCAUCAACCAAAGGUGGAAGGUUUAAGGACAAGGUGGAUGCCAUCCAUCGACAAGAUAUUUGCAGACUUGGUUGUUAAGUAUAUACAACUUUUGAAAGAGCAAAUUAGUUUUAGUUGUUGAGAAAAUGUAGCUACAAUGUAUGGAUUCUAAUGUGUUAUUAUAGAGUUUUUAGCCAAAACAAAGUUAUUAGCAAAACUUGAUUCUAUGGCGAAACUUGAUUCAAUGGCGAAACUUAAUUCAUUC